CCCACUCAUUCUCCCUCUCUCUCUCUCUCAAAAUAAUAACCUUAAAACAAUAAUAUACUCUAAUUCAAUAUAUCCAUUCAUCAUGCAACGUGUAAUCAAUCUUAAAAUAUAACAUAUUUUACAUUCUGGUUUUCUUACUAAGUCUUUGCAGGGCACUGUGUUCGUUACAUCGUCAGCACACCUUGCUUCAAACUGGCCGGAUUUCAACUGCUCAACAAUCACGCAUGGCUAGUGGCUAUCCUGCUGGUCUGGCCAGCCUUUGGCUCUGAGAUCCAUGGGGCAGGGCCUUGCCUGGACUCCAGCAUGCACAGAGUCUGUUGUGCACCAGACAUCUGCUCCACGUGGAAGAAGCAGAGGUCCCAUGCAGGAAACUUGGAGACUUGUUUCUGCCAGGCUGGGCCUCUAAGGCUCCUUCUCCAGUGAUCUGGCAGAAGUGGGGAGAUGCUCAGACUUAAGACCACUUCCAAAGCAGUUAUUCGAACGCCUGAGUUAGGAACCUUCCUUGAUGAGUUGCAUUUCCCACGAAAUCCUGGGAGACAGCCACCCUGAAGUCGCUCUCACCAUGUGGGGAGAAUAAUCACCCCAAGGAUGUCUACAUCCCAACCCCUGCAACCUGCGUGACAUGUGUUACCUCAUGUGGCAGAGGGACUUCCCAGAAAUGAUGAAGUAAAGGAUUUUGAGAUGGGGAGUUUUCCUGGAGUAUCCAGAUGGGCUCAGUGUAAUCACAAGUGUGUUUACAAGUGAGGGAGGGAGGAAGGCGGGUCAGAGAAGUCUGGAGGUGGUAGAGGCAGAGGCUGGGGGGUGUGAGUACUGACUUUAAGGAUGGAGCCCAGGACGGUGGGUGGCCUCUGGAGCGGGAAAGGACAAGGAAGCCGAUUCUCCCCAGAGCCUUCCGAAGGAACACUGCCCUCCUACACCUUGGUUUUAGUCCCGUGA